rnacentral:rRNA from 1 species
UACGGAGGGUGCGAGCGUUAAUCGGAAUUAUUGGGCGUAAAGAGCUCGUAGGCGGUCUGUCGCGUCGAUCGUGAAAACUUGGGGCUUAACCCUGAGCUUGCGGUCGAUACGGGCAUCACUGGAGUUCGGCAGGGGAGACUGGAAUUCCUGGUGUAGCGGUGAAAUGCGCAGAUAUCAGGAGGAACACCGGUGGCGAAGGCGGGUCUCUGGGCCGAUACUGACGCUGAGGCGCGAAGGCGUGGGGAGCGAACGGG